rnacentral:rRNA from 1 species
UGCAGUCGACGGGAUCUACUGGUAAGCUUGCUUAUUGGUAGUGAGAGUGGCGCACGGGUGCGUAACGCGUGAGCAACCUACCCUUGUCAGGGGGAUAGCCCGGCGAAAGUCGGAUUAAUACCGCAUGACAUCAUUGAGAGGCAUCUUUCGAUGAUCAAAGAUUUAUCGGACAAGGAUGGGCUCGCGUGACAUUAGCUAGUUGGUAAGGUAACGGCUUACCAAGGCAACGAUGUCUAGGGGCUCUGAGAGGAGAAUCCCCCACACUGGUACUGAGACACGGACCAGACUCCUACGGGAGGCAGCAGUAAGGAAUAUUGGUCAAUGGACGGAAGUCUGAACCAGCCAUGCCGCGUGCAGGAAGACGGCCCUAUGGGUUGUAAACUGAUUUUAUACGGGAACAAACGUCGGUACGUGUACCGGUCUGAGUGUACCGUAAGAAUAAGGAUCGGCUAACUCCGUGCCAGCAGCCGCGGUAAUACGGAGGAUCCGAGCGUUAUCCGGAAUUAUUGGGUUUAAAGGGUGCGUAGGCGGCCAGAUAAGUCAGGGGUGAAAGUCGGCAGCUCAACUGUCGCAGUGCCUUUGAUACUGUUUGGCUUGAAUUCGGUUGAAGAUGGCGGAAUGAGACAAGUAGCGGUGAAAUGCAUAGAUAUGUCUCAGAACCCCGAUUGCGAAGGCAGCUAUCUAAGCCGUUAUUGACGCUGAUGCACGAAAGCGU